CCAUCCUUUCCGAUCCGCCAAAUCUUGUUGGUGGUUGUUCAUUUUGCCCAAGCGCCAACAAAAACGAGCAACAUGUUGGGAGAAAUUUGCCGUGUGACGCCGCCUUUAGUGAUUGAUUGAUUGACCAAACUCUUGGAGUAAAAAUUCUUCCUCCCAAGACCAGGCGGUGGCUGAGUCGACAGAGUGACGGCGUCGCGUUCAGGAGGACGCGAGUUCAAUCCCUGCCCGGUGCCACUAAGCUGGGAUUUUUCAGCCGCCGCCGAGUGGCUUAAAAACUACCCACAUGCUGUCCAGAUCACUUAUCAACCCGGACUCUAGAUUCAAGGAUUAAAGAUGAGCUCCGGGAGGGCAGCAUGAGCCAAUGCAAGAUGGCGCCACUAUAAACACUCGCCUGCGCCAGAAUGGGCUGGACCGACCAUCAGGCCCCACCGGGAAGAAGCCUUGGGCUGACCAUCAGGCCCCACCGGGAAGAAGCCUACCGGCGCAAUAGGCCGCGACGUAAAAAAAAAAAAAAAAAAAAUCGUGACAAAAUCAUCGGGAGAAAAUCUCCACAGAAAACUUUAGAGACAAUUAAGUUUGAAUUAAAUUCCUCCGUUCUGCGAAUGAAUUAUAAUAGAAAAUUAACUCCUAUAAAUAGGAUAUAUAGCAACCCAACUUUUGAAACAAAGUCAUCCGCCCAUAAAAUAUUAUAAAGAGCUACCCUGAAGAAAUUAUUUAUUCCCUACUGAUCUCUCAACCCACUGACAAAUCACACAGUUUGAUUUUCCCGCGUUGAACCCAAGCUCAGGCUCAAGUUCAACGAGGGAAAAUCAAAGUAUGUAAUCAGUUGGAUAGUUAUAACACAUAGAAAAAGGCAUAAUACCCAAGUCAUGGUCAGUUGAUUGAGAGUUAAAUAGGGAACAAAUCACUCGCUUAAAGGUGUUUUUUUAGUAGGUCAUGUUCAGAUGACUUUGGCUCAAGUAAUGUCGUUUUCGGCAGUACCUCGGGUAGAUGAAUCGUUUCACGUUAUUGCACUUACGUAAACUGCUCAUUACUUUUUGUUUUCUGGUAUAAAAAUAUAUUAUAACACAUAGAAAAGGGCAUAAUACCCAAAUCAUGGUCAGCGUGAGAACAGGAGUAAAACGAACAAAAGGACAGAGAAGGCCGGGAAAUGCAAAAAGAUCAGAGUGAAGGAAACAAAGGAAUAGAAAAUAGGAAAGCAAAAGUCUGUGUAAGCAAAGUGUACAGAUAAACAGAGCUCAGUGCAGAGUGUGAAAAGGAAAUUAAGGAGGAGCGAUAGAAAGACGAAUAGGUUAAAAGAAGAUGUUAAGGCACCGAGGGCGAACUCGUCCCCGCGCCACCCAUGUGCUGGCCGCCCUGCCUUCCACUGAGCAUCCCAUCAAGCAUCAUAUGUACUCAGUUGCUUCAAUAUGGUUGGCCGUCGCACACACACAGAAAUGAAGUGUUUGCAGACAACACCCCUGAAUGGGUCUGUACGUGAUAGCGAGUGCAGUGAAACAAAUGAAAAUGUGACUGUGAUGCCUAAAAAACCGGUAUUUCGGAGCUUAGUGAACCACACAUUAGCAACAUGUAAUGUGAAAACCGAACUCCUUGCUGACUUAGAUGAAAGUAUAAUUGUGAAACAUGAGCCUUUGAGUAGUGACAGUGAAGAAGAGAAACAUGUGGUAGAUGCUGAACCACAGAUGAAGCUACAAGUGAAGGGUGCUAGCAAAAGGCGUGCAUAUUCCUCUGAAGUAUUCACACCCCACAAGAAACUCCGUACACCGCAACAAUUAUCACAUUAUCUUGAUAUCAUGAGUAGUAGUUGCACUAGUGAUGAAGAUGAUCCUGACAGUGAUAUAUCUGGUGUCGAUCCUCUGAUGGAAGAGCUGAUUUCGUCAGACGUAGAAAGUGAAAAUGUUGUGCAUGGUGCAGCGGACAAUGCCCGUGACCUUGAACCACAGCCCGGGCCAUCCCACCGCUCUGACUCACGCCAUCCAUUGUCUCCUGACACUCUCCCCUAUACUUCACAACUCACGGCUGCAGAAUGUGCCUCCUCACGUAGUGAAAACUGUAGUGAGGUGCCAGCCCAGUCAGGACAUGGAAAACCCAUUAUCAGUAUGCCAGCAAUACCUGUCAUGACAUAUGACUGGAAAGAUAGUGCAAAUUUUGUUCCUUCCCAGUAUAUGUUUGACUCAACAUCUGCAGGUCUAUCUGAUGCAGGCAACAUUACAAAAAAUAGUACAUACUUAGACUAUUUUCUUCUUUUCUUCGAUGAUGAGCUAAUGGAUUUCAUAGUGAUACAGACAAACUUGCAGUACAAAUAUUACGUGGAAAAUCAUGGCAUGUCUCCUUGCUCAAGGUUGCAAAGAUGGAAGGAUACAGACAAACAGGAAAUGUUCGUCUUCUUUGCUCUGAUUAUGCUCAUGCCUCAAGUAGCACUGAAAGAUAUAGUUGAUUACUGGAGGAAGGACUCCCUCACCCAUGUUCCAGCUUUUGCCAAAUACAUGUCGAGAGAUAGGUUUCUUCUUUUACUCAGAAUGCUGCACUUCAAUGACAAAAAAGCCCCAAGCGACACAAGUGAUAGCCUGAUGAAAAUAAGGUCAAUAGUCGAUCAUUUCAGGAACAAGUUUUCCACCCUAUUUUCCCCUUACCAAAACCUUGUCAUUGACGAAUCCCAUAUUCUGUUCAGAGGCGGUUUAGCCUUCAAGCAGUACAUAAAAACAAAGAGACAUAGGUUUGGAAUAAAAUUAUUCGUCCUCUGCGACUGUGACUCGGGAGCGAUUCUGGACUUCAUUGUCUAUACUGGCGCUUCCUCGGACAUUCCUGCAGUCAAGAAAGGUGACCCAUUAGGAAAGCCAGCGGCAAUUGUUUUGCAGUUGAUGCAAAAGUACCUCAACAAGGGUCAUAUCUUGUAUACUGAUCGCUGGUACACAAGCCCCACCUUAUCCAUGUACCUGCACUCCAAGAGCACUGGAUCUUGUGGAACAGUUAUGCCCAAUAUAAAAGGUAUGCCAAAAUUUGAAGAGAAGCAGCCAAGAGGAACUGUUCAGAGGAAAGAGGCAAACAACAUCCUUGCAAUCAGAUGGCAUGACAAGUGUUCAGUGUAUAUGCUGUCAACUCUGCAUAAAGGGAAACUGAUAAAUAGUGGAAAGAAAGACUAUAAUACCCAUGAAUCUAUCAAGAAACCAGACAUGAACCUAGAAUAUUCAAUGAACAUGCGUCUUGUCGAUAAGGCAGACAUGAUGAUGGGCAACAUGGAAACUGUGAGGAAAAGUUUUACUUGGUAUAAAAAGCUGUUCUUCCACAUAAUGGACAUGGCAAUACUGAAUAGCUAUAACUACUAUUUAGUGAAGAACUUUGCUCAUCCAACAAUGAAGGAAUUUAUGCAUGAUUUGGUAUAUCAGCUACUGGAAAGGUAUGCCACAGUCCCCCCAGAGAAGGGGAAGUAUGCUACUAUGGUUGACCCACCUGAGAGGCUGCUACAUGCUAAUGUGCUCUCAAAACAUUAUUCUGAGAGAAUGGAAAUGGAAAGAGCAGUAUCUAAGAGGAAAUCGGAGUCAAAGUAUUGCAGAGUGUGUUCCUCAACGACACGUAGGGAGAGGCAGAAGAAGAAGACCUCGUACUGGUGCCCGGAAUGCAGAGUCCCACUGUGCCUAGGAAUGUGUUUCCGGGAAUAUCACACCUUGAAAAAGUACUAAAGAAAUGUGUGUAUGUAAUGUAUAUAGUGUAAACACCUGCAUAAGGAAUAGAAAAUAAGAACACAUAAUUUUAGUAAAACAAAUGAAUGAAAAAUAAGAACAGAUUGAGUGAAAAUAAUGGAGAAGAAAUGUGCAGGGGGGCAGGUGGCUAGACCACCUUGAGGGAGGAGAGUGAGCCAGGAAGAGGCUAUGUAUCAUCUGAUGAAAUGGUGGUGGCUGUGUGGUCAGAGAGCAGGCGUGGUGUCCUGGAGGACCCAGGUUCAACUUCAAGUCCCACUCACUGCUACCAGCUGACAAUUUCCAACCAUCACUGAGUGGCUUAAAACUACCUACAUGCUUUAACAAAACUCUGCAUGGAGCAAAGAUGAGUUCUGGGGGCCAGCAUGUGCCAAACAAGAUGGUGCUACUAUAAGUAUGUACUUGCCUUCACCAUGAACAGGCUAACCUGGCUAGAGCUGACCAACAGGCCCUAUCAAGAUAGUCCACCGGUGCAACAAGCAGAAUGUAUAAUAAAAAAUAUAAAAAAUUGGGGUGCAUCACCUUUCCCAUCCUAUGAUGCCAAUCCCGGGGGCUCCUCCGGGCAAGUCUCCAUUUAGGCCCCCUUCCCAUCCAAAGUACCUCACGGCAAGAUCCAUCUACUUGCUCAAGCUAUGAUCUUUGUGGGCGUCCCCUUGGCCUCCUCCACUCGAGGCUGUCUCACAGGAACUAUCCAGUGACUACUUGACAAGACUUGCCAUUGUGCUGCACUAAGGUA